UACGUAGGGUGCAAGCGUUAAUCGGAAUUACUGGGCGUAAAGCGUGCGCAGGCGGUUAUGUAAGACAGGUGUGAAAUCCCCGGGCUUAACCUGGGAACUGCAUUUGUGACUGCAUAGCUAGAGUACGGUAGAGGGGGAUGGAAUUCCGCGUGUAGCAGUGAAAUGCGUAGAUAUGCGGAGGAACACCGAUGGCGAAGGCAAUCCCCCUGGACCUGUACUGACGCUCAUGCA
rnacentral:rRNA from 1 species